rnacentral:rRNA from 1 species
GACGAACGCUGGCGGCGUGCUUAACACAUGCAAGUCGAACGGAAAGGCCCUGCUUUUGUGGGGUGCUCGAGUGGCGAACGGGUGAGUAACACGUGAGUAACCUGCCCUUGACUUUGGGAUAACUUCAGGAAACUGGGGCUAAUACCGGAUAGGAGCUCCUGCUGCAUGGUGGGGGUUGGAAAGUUUCGGCGGUUGGGGAUGGACUCGCGGCUUAUCAGCUUGUUGGUGGGGUAGUGGCUUACCAAGGCUUUGACGGGUAGCCGGCCUGAGAGGGUGACCGGCCACAUUGGGACUGGGGUACGGCCCCGACUCCUACGGGAGGCAGCAGUGGGGAAUAUUGCACAAUGGGCGGAAGCCUGAUGCAGCAACGCCGCGUGCGGGAUUACGGCCUUCGGGUUGUAAACCGCUUUCGCCUGUGACGAAGCGUGAGUGACGGUAAUGGGUAAAGAAGCACCGGCUAACUACGUG